AUUGAACGCUGGCGGCAGGCCUAACACAUGCAAGUCGAACGAGUGGCGGACGGGUGAGUAAUGUCUCUGACCGUGCCCGGUGGAGGGGGAUCACUAAUGGAAACAGUGGCUGAUACCGCCUACCAUCGGCUAGGCCGAUAUCGGAUUAGGUGGUGGGUGGGGGAAAGGCUAACAAAGGCCACGAUCCGUAGCUGGUGUAAGAGGAUGACCAGUCCAACUGGAAAUGAGACACGGUCCAGACUCCUACGGGAGGCAGCAGUGGGGAAUAUUGGACAAUGGGGGAAAGCCUGAUCCAGCCAUGCCGCGUGUGUGAAGAAGGCCUUCGGGUUGUAAAGUACUUUAAGCGGGGAGGCGUUACCAGCAGAAUAAGCACCGGCUAACUACGUGCCAGCAGCCGCGGUAAUAC
rnacentral:rRNA from 1 species